rnacentral:rRNA from 1 species
GAUGAACGCUGGCGGCGUGCCUAAUACAUGCAAGUCGAGCGAACAGAUGAGGAGCUUGCUCCUCUGACGUUAGCGGCGGACGGGUGAGUAACACGUGGAUAACCUACCUAUAAGACUGGGAUAACUUCGGGAAACCGGAGCUAAUACCGGAUAAUAUAUUGAGCCGCAUGGUUCAAUAGUGAAAGACGGUUUUGCUGUCACUUAUAGAUGGAUCCGCGCCGCAUUAGCUAGUUGGUAAGGUAACGGCUUACCAAGGCAACGAUGCGUAGCCGACCUGAGAGGGUGAUCGGCCACACUGGAACUGAGACACGGUCCAGACUCCUACGGGAGGCAGCAGUAGGGAAUCUUCCGCAAUGGGCGAAAGCCUGACGGAGCAACGCCGCGUGAGUGAUGAAGGUCUUCGGAUCGUAAAACUCUGUUAUUAGGGAAGAACAAAUGUGUAAGUAACUAUGCACGUCUUGACGGUACCUAAGCAGAAAGCCACGGCUAACUACGU